CUGGGGGACUUAAAACAACAGACAUUUAUUCGAUCGCAGUUCUGGAGGCCAGAGGGCCAAGGGGGAGCAGGGCUGUGGAGAGCAUGACCCCCUUGUUAAACCACGUCUGCCUUUAUGCCUCGAUACACCACACAGAGAGAUGACGGGAGAUACCACCAAGAUGAGAUGCCAACCCGGGAGAGGCUCUGCAGGUCCCCUGGUGCCCACGUCUACCUGGCUUGUCCCCACAGGUGGGUUUUCUGAGACAAGGGGGCUUUUGGACACAGGUCUGUCCCCAGAGCCAGCCAGCAGCUCCAGAGAAGAGACAGCAGGUGCCCAGGACGAUGCGGCUUAGUUGCCAGGUUGCCACGAAACAUCCAAUAUUUGAAAGUGUUCUAUGGACCUCAAAGGGCAAGAGACACCUUAAAAUGUUUGCUGGAUGGCUGUAGGAGGGUAGAGCCCUGGUGGGCACACCUGGUGGUGAGCUUGGAGGCGAGGCUCUGCUGCUCAUGUUCAUGGAGUCCCACGUCCACCAGGCCCUUUGAAUCUCGAGUUUCUGGCUUCAGAUGCCCCCAGGUUUCCAGAAGUCAAGAUUUCUAACAAAUGGACCCAAACCCCAAGCCAGCACCUGGAAGUGGCAGCAACACGGCUGUGUGGACCCCGGUGCUGGGAACCUUCUGGAGGCAGCUGGACACAGGGGCUGCCAGUGUGGAGAGGGACGCUGCUCAUUUUGACAUUUCAUCUGAAUAACGUUCCAAGUGUUCUAAUGAAAGCCUCUGCGCUCCCUUUGAAAUACUAGCAAUUACAAAGAUGAAUAAUUGCAUGAUA
rnacentral:lncRNA from 1 species